GGAGGAGAUUCAUGCCCGGUGGCAUGUCCGGACUUCAAAUCCGGGAGGGGCCGAGAGACGGUCCUUGGUGGGUUCGACCCCCACUCUCUUCC
rnacentral:tRNA from 1 species